CUAUGGAAGGAAUUCCCAGGCGAUACGUUGUACCGCACUCGCUUAACCAACCUGAUCAUAAUUCGCGAUUCGAGUGGGUCCCGGUGGGAGCCAUCUCAGUUCCAUUCAUGAGAAAGGUAGCGCACUUUGGAUAGAGUGAACGGGUAUCAAAAGCACAACCGGAAAAGGUCUUCCAUAUCAGGCUCUCUCAGCCAAGGCUUCAAACAGGGAAAUAAUAGCCUUCUCACCGAUCGGAGAAAUCGGGACCCACAGGAGACUACCGCCACUAAUCUAUGCGACUAGAAGAACAGGGGCCCAACCGGAAGGAAACACAUUCCCCGCCAAGAAAAGAGUUCAAACCCCUUUCUUGCUCUUCGCUCUGUGACAUCGACGCGAACGGUGAGCCGAUGAAAAGGGAUAGGAGACCAGAUGACAACGAUAGCGACGACGAAGGGGGAGCGUCGCCGGAGAAGAAGGCGAAUCUGGAGGAGACACCAACGAGAUCAUUAUCCGCAAGCUGUCGAAUAAACGGAGGGUUUCCGUGAGGAAAUGGAAGUCGGUGGCCGUGGUGUACUUCCGAGAAUUGUACUUCAAGAAGGGCAAACCGCAUCCGGGGAUGAAAGGCAUAUCACUGCCUGCAGACCGGGUACUCGUCACUACAUUAUUGUGGUGGCGCUUUUCAUCAUAUCAUGGUUUUACGUUCUGGAUAUUUCUCCAAUGGUUUGUGAAGUUAAGCCAUCACAGGAGCUCAAUGAUCACAUUCUCUCUUUUCAUUUUUAUGCUGUUCUAAAAUUUUCUUGUAACUACACUGCAGAACUUUGAUUGUGUGGUCUAAUUUCCAUUUUCAUAUUUUGCCAAUCUCAUUUUGAUCUUUUCUUGUUCUUGUCAGAUGAAGUGGAAUACACUGUGAACAUAUUGAAGAUAUCAUAGGCUUCUUAUUGGUGAGAGAAGUAUAACUUGGGAAUGUUUCCUGUUGCGAAUUUUGAUUUGUGGUGUAAAUGCGAAUAUGGAACAACAUUUGAAGUAAACACUGCUGAGACGAGCUAUAAUAAUAGACUAACCCCAUUUUGUGCAAAACUUGUCUAUGAGGAGUCGUCCAAAUCUUCAUUUCGAUGAUUGACAAGUUAAACCAUGAAAUGAUCGAGGGGAAUCCAUGGACAAAUAAAUGUACCUAUUCACAUGUGAUUGUGGAAGAAAAAUCUUGUAUGGUUGACAAUUUCGAUGGAAAAUGAUUUAUCUGUUCUGUC